CGAUCACUGUUAACUUUAAUUACUGUCGACGGUGCACAGAAGAGUUACGAUUGGUCUCUUCACGACUUUAUACGUCAUAAAAACAAUAUUCUCGGUCGCAUUGAAGUCUUAUCAAUAUUUAUCAUCAGCUGAAGUCAUGCAUUUCUUGUGUUCAAAAGUCGGGUAUGAAUUUUUUGAAAUAAAAUGCUCUUUAAAUUUUCCUUUUGCUACGAAUACGAAAUGAGACCACAGUCAUAGAAAUUAGGAGGGGUAAUUGUACAAUGAAGUCUUUAAAUCGUUGAAUUGAGACGGUGUGUUUUUUAUCUUGAUCUGCGUGUAAUAUAAAGGGUACCAGUUUCUUACGAGCACUGUCCGCGGCGCAAGAGAAUUGGAGACCGUGAUUAGAUCUCGAGUUUCCAGGGGUUCUUGGCUAGCUAUUUGGUAAGCUGGGGCCCUGAGAGCGCACACGUAUUAUUUAUUCCAAUAAACGGUACAGCUGAGAAUUAUUGCUUAUUAAGUUUCGUCACAUCACACGCGUAUCUGCAUAAUUAAUAUCCUUUAACGCCAAAGACUUUUCUUGAAUCUCAUUCUACGUCAUUGUUUGAUGUCGUCCAGUUCUUAGCUUUAAAUAUCCACGUUUUAUUGAUUUCGUAUUUAUUUUCUGUUUUUUGCAACCAUUCCCCAUUUUGACCCUCAAUACUGUUAUGCCAAUCAUUUUUCUCGUGAUUUAUUGGAGGUUGGUUGAAAGCAUUCAUUUCAAACCCUCGAUUUCGAUUGGUGGUUGAUUCUACAUUUCGAUAGCUCUAUUUUAAAGAGUGUGGGGCUCCAAGCGGGGAUGUGUGCAAAAAAAAUAUGUAGUUUUCAUUCAGUUGUUAUCUGUAUUAAUUUUAUAUUUUGUUGAUUUUUUUUCUCAUUAGUAUUAUACCGGUUUGAUAUUAUGUGAAACCUCUGUUGUUUUUGCAUUUAUUAUAUUUUAUUCUUGCUCAAUAAGAAUGUCAGUUGCUGCAAUUUCGUUCGGUAUUUAGUGUGAAUGAUUUUAUAAAAAUGCUUGUUUUGUCUCGGAGAAAACAAAAACUUAUUACAUUGAAAAUAAAGAAGUAUAUG
rnacentral:misc_RNA from 1 species